GGGAAUGUAGCUCAAUGGUAGAGCACUUGCCAUGCAUGAAGCAAUGGAUUCAUUCUCU
rnacentral:tRNA from 1 species